GGAUGUGAGGGUGAUCUGGCUGAGACAUCUGUCACCCCAUUGAUCGCCAGGGUUGAUUCAACUGAUCUGGCUGACUAGGCGGGUGUCCCCUUCCUCCCUCACUGCUCCAUGUGUGUCCCUUUUGAAGCUGCACGCUUGGUCCAAGAGGAUGACCUUCCCUAAUAGAGGAGGACUGUUCUUUGGUCAAUGGUAUAUGAGUAGCUGCGUUCCUCUGCUAGAACCUCCAAACAAGCUCUCAAAAAACCCUGAGAGAGGCUGGUCCCGUGGCUGAGUGGUUAAGUUUGCACGUUCUGCUUCAAUGGCUCAGGGUUUCGCCAGUUUGG
rfam:Equus caballus chromosome 11, whole genome shotgun sequence.